GACGUAGGGCGCAAGCGUUGUCCGGAUUUAUUGGGCGUAAAGAGCUCGUAGGCGGCUUGUUGCGUCGACCGUGAAAACCCGCGGCUCAACUGCGGGCUUGCGGUCGAUACGGGCAGGCUGGAGUUCGGUAGGGGAGACUGGAAUUCCAGGUGUAGCGGUGAAAUGCGUAGAUAUCUGGAGGAACACCGGUGGCGAAGGCGGCAUCCUGGACCAUGACUGACGCUGAGGAGCGAAAGCCAGGGGAGCAAACGGG
rnacentral:rRNA from 1 species